CACACAAACACACAUAGCCAUGGCCUCUUCUUUCUCUUCACAAGCCUUCUUCUUGCUCACAUUGUCUAUGGUUUUAAUUCCUUUCUCUUUAGCUCAAGCUCCCAUGAUGGCUCCUUCUGGCUCAAUGUCCAUGCCGCCUAUGUCUAGCGGCGGUGGAAGCUCGGUUCCUCCUCCAGUGAUGUCUCCGAUGCCAAUGAUGACUCCACCACCUAUGCCUAUGACUCCACCACCCAUGCCCAUGACUCCACCACCUAUGCCUAUGGCUCCACCACCAAUGCCCAUGGCUUCACCACCAAUGAUGCCAAUGACUCCAUCUACAAGCCCAAGCCCAUUAACAGUUCCGGAUAUGCCUUCGCCGCCGAUGCCAUCCGGAAUGGAAUCUUCACCUUCUCCAGGACCCAUGCCACCGGCAAUGGCGGCUUCGC
rnacentral:lncRNA from 1 species